CUGGAGAGGCCGGGUGGGUGCAGGCGACGACGCCCGCGCCUCCCUCGGGGCCGACUGGGCGGGGGACGUGGGCGGCCGAGGCCUGUAGGGUGGGCCCCGCGGCCCCUCAGCUGAGGCGACCCCGCCGCAGCCGCGCCUCCCUUCUGUCAGGACUGCCCCACGCCGCCGCUUCCCAGGCCGGGGUGCUCAGGCUCAGGCCAUCUGCGAGGGCUGCGGCUUCGGGCAUCACGUUAACGGAACGAAAGCGAAAACGCCGCCACCCGCCCACAGCUCGGCUCGCGAGGGACGCGCUGUCAGCUCAAUAAGUUCCGAGAGGAAGGCAGUUCUCGCGAGAUUUCCUGCGCAGGGGGCGGGGCGUGGCGGGCAGGGAAGGCGGGGUGUCGGUCUCGCGACCCAGGGGCUGACGUCACCCGCCUCACGUGAGCGCGCCUCGCCUGACCCCUUUGCGAAGAGGAGGAGCGGCGUGUGCCUUGGUCGCGCGCUCGAAGCUCUGCCGUGCGGUACGAGCGACCGUGCUGCGCAAAUGCCGGGCGGAAAGCACGUAGCGUUUCGGGAACGGCCCUGCUUAUUAGCAUAUGUGCCAUCGUUUACAGUGAAAACGAGAAGAAUAACCGUGCAUUACAUUUAAAACGCACUGGACUGGAAAACGUUGGCGUUCCAUUGCUCAUUUGUUCAUCGUUAGCACGACAUCAUGGACUCAAAAUUUCACGGCUGGAUGAUAAACGAGGCGUCGACGGUUAUUUCUGAAGGUCGGACGCACGGCUGCACGGAAGUCCCGCGGGGAUGACAGUCCGUGCUUCGGCCCUGCUCUGCGCUGCCCUCGUCCUCAGCACACCCGCCAGACGAUCUCCUUCAAAGCCCCGUCCAAGCACAUCUUGUCUUUGCUCGAAGCCUUCUGAAGCCUUCCCAUCUCCAACGGAUUGAAAACCAAAAUCCCAAAAUUGGCUUACAAGGCCCUAGAGGACCUGCCCAUCGCCCGUGCUCCAUUAUUAACCUUCCGGCCUGUGUUCGCCUGGUUCCUGCUCCCACGCUGGCCUCUGCUGUUCCCGGAGCAUGACAGGUGCUCCCACGAGGGACUCUGCAUCGGGGCUUGGUUCCCUCAUCCCCACAACGUUCGCCUGUUUUCCCCCUCCCAUUUCUUCAACUCCCGCGGUUUUCCACCCAUCGAUGCGGCCUUUCCUGGCCACUUCCCAAUACUGCACUUCUUUCUAACACGAUUUCUAUCCUAGCUCCCUGCUUCAUCUCCCCUGAACGCCCAUUGCCAUCUAGUAUGCUACAAAUUUUAUGUUUUCCUUGUGAAUCGUUAAUUCCCAACUAGCAUAUGAGCUCCCCAAGGGCAUGAGUUAUUGUCUGUUUUGUUCGCUGCUCCAUUUCCAGCAACUAGAAUAGUGCUUGGCACAUAAUAGCUGCUUGAUGAAUUGUGUUGAGUAGACGAAUUAAUUAUUUUGGGAUUUAGAUUAUCUAAUCACAAUUUUCAUAUUAAAACUGGUAGUCGAUAAUUAACAUAACAGACUUCUUACCGUAAGUGUGAUCGCUCUUAAUCAAGAUGGUCACAGUAUCCCAUUACUAAUAGUACUUAUGCAGAAAAAAGGAUUUUAAAAAUACACUAAUAGUUGACAUUGAGAGAAAGGAUCUAGUACUGAUUUUCUUGCCAUCGAAGUCCUUAAAGAAAGAAGAAAUUUCUGUUUUUUAGGUAUAGUAGACUUACUAAAUUUUGCAAUAUAAUAAAAGAUGCCAAAAGUUUCAAAAAACUAGGCCUCGUGAUACAAGUCAAUGUAAGGAAAUAAAAAUGUGGCUUUA